UGGCCAUCACCGCUGUACCUCCCCUCACUACUGGAUACGACAGCAGCCAGGCGGACAACAAGGCUGUCCUCCCCUCCUCCACCAGUAGUCAGAUGAUCACAUUUAGUUUCUCUAACGGGGGCGUGGCCACCAUGAGGACCAGCGGAACGGAACCCAAGAUCAAGUACUACACUGAGCUGUGUGCUGCCCCUGGCAACCGUGAUGUUGCAGGUUUACAGAAGGAGUUAGAUGACCUGGUUAAUGCCAUCGUAGAGGACUUCUUCCAGCCCCAGAAGAAUAACCUGCUGUCCAAGCCUGAGUAACACACAUCAGUGGCUUGUCAACACAAAGACCCGCGCUGGUUUGACUUCCUGAUCAAGAUUCCCUUUCACACAUUCUUCUUCCAGAACUCACACACAUUCUAGAACUCACACACAUUGUAGAACUCACACACACACACACAUUCUAGAACUCACACACACACACACAUUCUAGAACUCACACACAUUCUAGAAGUCUUUAAUGGGUUGUACCUGGAGCUCUAAGUCUUAUCUACUAGCUGGAGUGCUGUGUAUUUGACCAAACACACAGGGUUACUAACUGUCGUUCAGGGUUUUAACUCCAACCCUGUUUGAGAAGAAGGAGGAGGAGUAGUACUACCACUAGGCUCCCGAGUGACUCAGUGGUCUGUCACUGCAUCACUACAGACCCUGGUUCGAUUCCAGGCUGUAUCACAACCGACCGUGAUUGGGAGGUCCCAUAGGACGGCGCACAAUUGGCCCGGCGUCGUCCGGGUUUGGCCGGUGGUAGGCCGUCAUUGUAAAUAAGAAUUUGUUCUUAAUUGACUUGCCUGGUUAAAUAAUUGUUUUUUAAAAAUACUGAUACCACUGCCUCCUCCUCAAUAACCAGCCUCCUCUGUAACCAUUACUGCAUAAUGUUUCAAGAACAACAAUAAAGAUGUGAUUUUUAAAAGGAAAAA